rnacentral:rRNA from 1 species
AUGGUAGGAUAGAGGCCUACCAUGGUGGUAACGGGUAACGGGGUGUUAGGGCACGACACCGGAGAGGGAGCCUGAGAAACGGCUACCACAUCCAAGGAAGGCAGCAGGCGCGCAAAUUACCCAAUCCCGACACGGGGAGGUAGUGACAAUAAAUAACAAUACGGGGUUCUUUAGGAUCUCGUAAUUGGAAUGAGUACAAUUUAAAUCUCUUAACGAGGAACAAUUGGAGGGCAAGUCUGGCGCCAGCAGCCGCGGUAAUUCCAGCUCCAAUAGCGUAUAUUAAAGUUGUUGCAGUUAAAAAGCUCGUAGUUGAAUUUCGGGGUCAGUAGGUCGGUCGUGCCUCUGGUACGUACUGGUAUCAUUGGUUUCUCCUUUCUGACGAACCAUGAUGUCAUUAAUUUGGUGUUAUGGGGAGUUAGGACUGUUACUUUGAAAAAAUUAGAGUGUUUAAAGCAGGCUUUAGCUUGAAUACAUUAGCAUGGAAUAAUGAAAUAGGACGUUCGAUCCUAUUUUGUUGGUUUCUAGGAUCAACGUAAUGAUUAAUAGGGAUAGUUGGGGGCAUUAGUAUUCAAUUGUCAGAGGUGAAAUUCUUGGAUUUAUUGAAGACUAACUACUGCGAAAGCAUUUGCCAAGGAUGUUUUCAUUAAUCAAGAACGAAAGUUAGGGGAUCGAAGACGAUCAGAUACCGUCGUAGUCUUAACCAUAAACUAUGCCGACUAGGGAUCGGAUGAUGUUAAUUUUUUAAUGACUCAUUCGGCGCCUUACGGGAAACCAAAGUGUUUGGG